rnacentral:rRNA from 1 species
GCCAUCAGAUGUGCCCAGAUGGGAUUAGCUAGUAGGUGGGGUAACGGCUCACCUAGGCGACGAUCCCUAGCUGGUCUGAGAGGAUGACCAGCCACACUGGAACUGAGACACGGUCCAGACUCCUACGGGAGGCAGCAGUGGGGAAUAUUGCACAAUGGGCGCAAGCCUGAUGCAGCCAUGCCGCGUGUGUGAAGAAGGCCUUCGGGUUGUAAAGCACUUUCAGCGGGGAGGAAGGCGAUAAGGUUAAUAACCUUGUCGAUUGACGUUACCCGCAGAAGAAGCACCGGCUAACUCCGUGCCAGCAGCCGCGGUAAUACGGAGGGUGCAAGCGUUAAUCGGAAUUACUGGGCGUAAAGCGCACGCAGGCGGUCUGUCAAGUCGGAUGUGAAAUCCCCGGGCUCAACCUGGGAACUGCAUUCGAAACUGGCAGGCUAGAGUCUUGUAGAGGGGGGUAGAAUUCCAGGUGUAGCGGUGAAAUGCGUAGAGAUCUGGAGGAAUACCGGUGGCGAAGGCGGCCCCCUGGACAAAGACUGACGCUCAGGUGCGAAAGCGUGGGGAGCAAACAGGAUUAGAUACCCUGGUAGUCCACGCCGUAAACGAUGUCGAUUUGGAGGUUGUGCCCUUGAGGCGUGGCUUCCGGAGCUAACGCGUUAAAUCGACCGCCUGGGGAGUACGGCCGCAAGGUUAAAACUCAAAUGAAUUGACGGGGGCCCGCACAAGCGGUGGAGCAUGUGGUUUAAUUCGAUGCAACGCGAAGAACCUUACCUGGUCUUGACAUCCACAGAACUUUCCAGAGAUGGAUUGGUGCCUUCGGGAACUGUGAGACAGGUGCUGCAUGGCUGUCGUCAGCUCGUGUUGUGAAAUGUUGGGUUAAGUCCCGCAACGAGCGCAACCCUUAUCCUUUGUUGCCAGCGGUUCGGCCGGGAACUCAAAGGAGACUGCCAGUGAUAAACUGGAGGAAGGUGGGGAUGACGUCAAGUCAUCAUGGCCCUUACGACCAGGGCUACACACGUGCUACAAUGGCAUAUACAAAGAGAAGCGACCUCGCGAGAGCAAGCGGACCUCAUAAAGUAUGUCGUAGUCCGGAUUGGAGUCUGCAACUCGACUCCAUGAAGUCGGAAUCGCUAGUAAUCGUAGAUCAGAAUGCUACGGUGAAUACGUUCCCGGGCCUUGUACACACCGCCCGUCACACCAUGGGAGUGGGUUGCAAAAGAAGUAGGUAGCUUAACCUUCGGGAGGGCGCUUACCACUUUGUGAUUCAUGACUGGGGUGAAGUCGUAACAAGGUAACCGUAGGGGAACCUGCGGUUGGAUCACCU